AAGGAAAGAAAAAGUGGCUUGUCUGAACUUUAAUAUUUCUGAAUACCUUUCUGAAAACUGAAAUAACUGAAACAUUGUCAACAUCUCUUGCAAUUUUGUUCUCUGCAGCGUGAUGUUACCACAGCGUUGCUCCAUCAGCAGGCAGCGGCACACAGCAGGGACGGAGCCAGGCAUGCAGCAUGGCCAGCACACAGCCCUGCCGAGAGCCCACCAUGCACUCCUCUGCCUUGCGUCACCACUUCAGCCCAAGCUCCUGAGCCAACGUCUCUGCCCCACAUUCAGCUCCAAGCAUUCUGAAGCGAGUCAGCAGCGGUGGUGAAGUGACAGCCUUCAGGUCUUUCUUCAGGACUGUUUUUGCAAAUGAAAGCAGCUCCUGGUGUUCUCCGUAUCACUUACAAGGUGCCUGCGAAUUUGAAAAUUCUUGCAUCUGGUCGUGAAAAGGCGGUGAGGAUUAGCAGUUCCGUGGGGUAAGAGGCCCUGUGUGUGGGGAGGCUGCGUGGGUUGGUGCUACCUGGGUUCAGAAGGUCAAAAAAAGGAUAAUUUAAAUGCAAUUUUUUAAAGAGGCCACAAGAAACCAGUUUGGUGAUUUGUGGAUCAUAAAGGAAUAGGGAUUAAAAAAAGAGGGAAGAAUUUGCAUCCCAGCAUCAAUCAGAAAUACCUGAAAGCACCUGGAAACUGCACUGCUAAGGGCUGCUCUACCCCAGAGCCACAAAACCUUCAGGUUUCUACUGUGAUCACUUUGUGAAGCCCUGCCUAGCCACGAAGCCCCUCUUCCCUCCCGAGGCCUCGCUGUGAGCACAGAGUCACCCCACCAUCACCGUCGCUCCCUGGAACGCUGCCAUAAAGCUGGUGAGCCGAGUCCCGGCCUCGCGGCGACGCAGGCAGUUUAAUAGGAGGGCAGGGGGCCUGCAGUCAGUAGCAAGAGGCAUAGCAGAGUAAAGCAGUGGUCCAUUAAAUCAGCGCACUGGGGCCGAGGCAUUUACAGUCACACAGUCAGAUGUUUCCAGUAAUUAUUUCCCCAUAGCAUUUUUAUUAGGUGCUCCAUAAAUAACGUUCACUGCCAUGCUCCUCUCAUGGUCUGCACAAAAAAAAAAAAAAAAGAAAAAAAUAAUAAUAAUGAAGAGGGGAGAAAUAUAACUCAUUUUGCCUUCAGCUGGAUUUUAGGGUAAUAUUGACAUUCAGCCCUACUGAAGCAGAUGUGAGUUUGGAAAACAGCAGCAAAAUAGUUCUUUGAAGACCAAACAUAAUUCCCUGUCACCAUCAUGAGACUAACACAAUGCGAGGCAAGUUCCUAUUUGAGAUUUGGAUGGUGUUCUGGGCAGUUUGAUCUAGUGCUUCAUCUAGCAGUCAGCAUCUGCCCGUGGCAGGGGUUUGGAAGUAGGCGACCUUUGGGGUCCUUCCCAACACAAACCGUUCUAUGACUUAGAUCGAUCUCCUGGCCAUGGAUCCCAUGCAGACCUGGGGCAGGCAGGCAAGGAAGUAGUGGGAUUGGACUGGUGUUUGUUUGUUGUGAAUGUGUUGUUAUUUUUUAUUUUUAGAAGAGCUUAGAUAGUUCAAAGCCAGUUUCAUCAAACAGCACUGCCUCCUCUCUGGGAAGACCUUCCCAAAGCUCAUCACUGUCACCGUGUGUUUUAUCCAGUCUGGACAUGCAGCAUCUAUUGAUAGAUCCUGGCUUUUUGAUGGAGGUUUUUGUGCAAAGGCUUUCUCCAGAAAAGGUCUUUGUGUGGCCUGAGUUGUUCUAAUGUCAGGUAAUAGAGCUUCCUUCCUGGCACUGGGACUUCCGUAUUACUGAGGCUACUUUGAUUUUCAACAUAAAUUUUCUAGCCAAAAUAAUAUUCUCCAAAUAAACUCAAAUACUUGGGGGCUCA
rnacentral:lncRNA from 1 species